rnacentral:rRNA from 1 species
UACAGAGGGUGCUAGCGUUAAUCGGAAUUACUGGGCGUAAAGGGCGCGUAGGCGGUGAGAUAUGUGUGAUGUGAAAGCCCCGAGCUUAACUUGGGAAUUGCGCUUGUGACUGGCGUGCUGGAGUGUGGCAGAGGGAGGUGGAAUUCCACGUGUAGCAGUGAAAUGCGUAGAGAUGUGGAGGAACACCGAUGGCGAAGGCAGCCUCCUGGGCCAGCACUGACGCUCAUGCACGAAAGCGUGGGGAGCAAACAGG